rnacentral:rRNA from 1 species
CGCGAAGAACCUUACCUGGUCUUGACAUCCACGGAAGUUUUCAGAGAUGAGAAUGUGCCUUCGGGAACCGUGAGACAGGUGCUGCAUGGCUGUCGUCAGCUCGUGUUGUGAAAUGUUGGGUUAAGUCCCGCAACGAGUGCAACCCUUAUCCUUUGUUGCCAGCGGUCCGGCCGGGAACUCAAAGGAGACUGCCAGUGAUAAACUGGAGGAAGGUGGGGAUGACGUCAAGUCAUCAUGGCCCUUACGACCAGGGCUACACACGUGCUACAAUGGCGCAUACAAAGAGAAGCGACCUCGCGAGAGCAAGCGGACCUCAUAAAGUGCGUCGUAGUCCGGAUUGGAGUCUGCAACUCGACUCCAUGAAGUCGGAAUCGCUAGUAAUCGUGGAUCAGAAUGCCACGGUGAAUACGUUCCCGGGUCUUGUACACACC